AAAACGGUCCUUUUCAGGACCACAGAAAUAUUAACCCAUUGAGAA
rfam:Anopheles funestus strain FTMOZ unplaced genomic scaffold supercont1.838, whole genome shotgun sequence.